AUUGAACGCUGGCGGCAUGCCUUACACAUGCAAGUCGAACGGCAGCAUGAUCUAGCUUGCUAGAUUGAUGGCGAGUGGCGAACGGGUGAGUAAUACAUCGGAACGUGCCCUGUAGUGGGGGAUAACUAGUCGAAAGAUUAGCUAAUACCGCAUACGACCUGAGGGUGAAAGUGGGGGACCGCAAGGCCUCAUGCUAUAGGAGCGGCCGAUGUCUGGUUAGCUAGUUGGUGGGGUAAAGGCUCACCAAGGCGACGAUCAGUAGCUGGUCUGAGAGGACGAUCAGCCACACUGGGACUGAGACACGGCCCAGACUCCUACGGGAGGCAGCAGUGGGGAAUUUUGGACAAUGGGGGCAACCCUGAUCCAGCAAUGCCGCGUGUGUGAAGAAGGCCUUCGGGUUGUAAAGCACUUUUGUCCGGAAAGAAAUCGCACUUACUAAUAUUAGGUGUGGAUGACGGUACCGGAAGAAUAAGGACCGGCUAACUACGUGCCAGCCGCCGCAGUAAGAC
rnacentral:rRNA from 1 species